rnacentral:ncRNA from 1 species
GAGAACCUUAGUAUAUCUUAGUCGAAUGUGAGUACCCUAGUGAUGAUUUGCCAAGGAUGGCAAAUCAAGAUGUCACUGAGCCAUGGAUGGCGAAUUGACAUCGGUCACGAUCACUCGGAAUAACUCCCCAUUCGUCUUAGAUAUCCUUAGGUUCGUAA